rnacentral:rRNA from 1 species
CUCAUUCGGAUCGGAGUCUGCAACCCGACUCCGUGAAGCUGGAUUCGCUAGUAAUCGCGCAUCAGCCAUGGCGCGGUGAAUACGUUCCCGGGCCCUUGUACACACCGCCCGUCAAGCCAUGGGAGCCGGGGGUGCUUGAAGUGCGUCGCCGUGAGGCGCGCCCUAGAGCAAAACCGGUGACUGGGGCUAAGUCGUAACAAGGUACC